rnacentral:misc_RNA from 1 species
GGAAGUAAAAGUCGUGACAAGGUUUCCGUAGGUGAACCUGCGGAAGGAUCAUUAUUGUAUAACCGAGGUGCGAGGGCUGUCGCUGACCCGAAAGGUCGUGCACGCCCGAGUGCCCUCACACACAUCCAUCUCACCCCUAUGUGCACCACCGCGUGGGUCCCCCUUUGGCUUGUUCGGAGGGGGGCUUACGUUUUCACACAAACUUUGUAUGCAGUGUAGAAUGUAUUUUUUGUUUUUGCGAUCACGCAAUCAAUACAACUUUCAACAACGGAUCUCUUGGCUUUC